rnacentral:rRNA from 1 species
UACGGGGGGGGCAAGCGUUGUUCGGAAUUACUGGGCGUAAAGGGUCUGUAGGUGGCCAACUAAGUCAUACGUGAAAUCCCUCAGCUUAACUGGGGAACUGCGUGUGAUACUGGAUGGCUUGGAUUUGGGAGAGGGAUGCGGAAUUCCAGGUGUAGCGGUGAAAUGCGUAGAUAUCUGGAGGAACACCGGUGGCGAAGGCGGUGCUCUGGGGCUGUUCUGACGCUGAGGCGCGAAAGCGUGGGGAGCGAACAGG